UACAGAGGGUGCGAGCGUUGUCCGGAAUCAUUGGGCGUAAAGAGCGUGUAGGCGGUCCGGUAAGUCGGCUGUGAAAGUCCAGGGCUCAACCCUGGGAUGCCGGUCGAUACUGCCGGACUAGAGUUCGGAAGAGGAGAGUGGAAUUCCCGGUGUAGCAGUGAAAUGCGUAGAGAUCGGGAGGAACAUCAGUUGCGAAGGCGGCUCUCUGGACCAGUACUGACGCUGAGGCACGAAAACGUGGGGAGCAAACAGG
rnacentral:rRNA from 1 species